rnacentral:rRNA from 1 species
GACAGAGGAUGCAAGCGUUAUCCGGAAUGAUUGGGCGUAAAGCGUCUGUAGGUGGCUUUUUAAGUCCGCCGUCAAAUCCCAGGGCUCAACCCUGGACAGGCGGUGGAAACUACCAAGCUGGAGUACGGUAGGGGCAGAGGGAAUUUCCGGUGGAGCGGUGAAAUGCGUAGAGAUCGGAAAGAACACCAACGGCGAAAGCAGGAUCCUGGACUCGUACUGACGCUGAGGCGCGAAAGCCAGGGUAGCGAACGGG